AUGUACGGUCACAUUGGAUUUGAAAACGACAUCCUUUCUUCCAUAGAUCCACGCUACCUGAAAGAAGGCCGCCUUCUGAAUCCAACGAUACCAGUUAUGUGCACAUCGGACCUACGCUUCAAAAGAUACGGACAGGUAUUGCUGGAAUGUCCCUUUAAUUUCUGCAGGAGUCCAGUCCUCCUCCCAGACAUCCCUGGAAACCCCUUCGUUGAGGACCGUCAUCGCGUUAAUUUCGUUUGUCUGCCUUUUUUUGUAUAGAAAA
rnacentral:lncRNA from 1 species